GAUGAACGCUGGCGGCGUGCCUAAUACAUGCAAGUCGAGCGAACAGACGAGAAGCUUGCUUCUCUGAUGUUAGCGGCGAACGGGUGAGUAACACGUGGGUAACCUACCUAUAAGACUGGGAUAACUCCGGGAAACCGGGGCUAAUACCGGAUAAUAUUUUGAACCGCAUGGUUCGAUAGUUAAAGACGGUUUCGGCUGUCACUUAUAGAUGGACCCGCGCCGUAUUAGCUAGUUGGUAAGGUAACGGCUUACCAAGGCGACGAUACGUAGCCGACCUGAGAGGGUGAUCGGCCACACUGGAACUGAGACACGGUCCAGACUCCUACGGGAGGCAGCAGUAGGGAAUCUUCCGCAAUGGGCGAAAGCCUGACGGAGCAACGCCGCGUGAGUGAUGAAGGUCUUCGGAUCGUAAAACUCUGUUGUUAGGGAAGAACAAAUUUGUUAGUAACUGAACAAGUCUUGACGGUACCUAACCAGAAAGCCACGGCUAACUACGUGCCAGCAGCCGCGGUAA
rnacentral:rRNA from 1 species